rnacentral:rRNA from 1 species
AAUGAACGUUGGCGGCGUGGAUUAGGCAUGCAAGUCGCGCGAGAAGUCAUUUAGCUUGCUAAAAGGCGGACAGCGGCGGAAGGGAGAGUAACGCGUGGUUAUGUACCCUCGAGACCGGGAUAGUGUCGGGAAACUGGCAGUAAUACCGGAUAACAUCUUCGGAUCAAAUGGUGUGAUUCCGCUCGAGGAUCGGACCGCGUACUAUUAGCUAGUUGGCGGGGUAAUAGCCCACCAAGGCUUAGAUGGUUACCGGGUGUGAGAGCAUGGCCCGGCUCACUGGGACUGAGACACUGCCCAGACAUCUACGGAUGGCUGCAGUCGAGAAUCUUCGGCAAUGGACGAAAGUCUGACCGAGCGACGCCGCGUGCGGGAUGAAGGCCCUCGGGUUGUAAACCGCUGUCAGUUAGGAGGAAAUCCAUGAGGGUACUCUCUCAUGGUUGACCGAUUUUCAGAGGAAGGACGGGCUAAGUUCGUGCCAGCAGCCGCCGUAAAAC